rnacentral:rRNA from 1 species
UAAAGUUUAUAAAAUUAGGUAGUAAAGAAAUAUCUGAAACCUAAAGAAUUUGGCGGUAUUUUAAAUAAUUGGAGGAACCUGUUAUUUAAUUGACAAUCCACAACAUAUCUUACCUAAAUUUUAUUUGUAUAUCGUCGUUUAGAUAAUACUUAAAAGUAAUAAUCAGAGUUAAAAAUUUUUUAGAAAUCAGAUCAAGGUGCAGUAUAUUUAGGGUAUAAUGGGUUACAAUAUAAAAAUAUAUAAUGGAUAUAAAAUUGAAAUUAUAUUGAAAGUGGAUUCAAAAGUAAGAUUAAAUUAAAAUAUUAAUUUGAUUAAUAAUUUAAAAUAUGC